GACGAACGCUGGCGGCGUGCCUAAUACAUGCAAGUCGAACGCUUUUUCUUUCACCGGAGCUUGCUCCACCGAAAGAAAAGGAGUGGCGAACGGGUGAGUAACACGUGGGUAACCUGCCCAUCAGAAGGGGAUAACACUUGGAAACAGGUGCUAAUACCGUAUAACACUAUUUUCCGCAUGGAAGAAAGUUGAAAGGCGCUUUUGCGUCACUGAUGGAUGGACCCGGGGUGCAUUAGCUAGUUGGUGAGGUAACGGCUCACCAAGGCAACGAUGCAUAGCCGACCUGAGAGGGUGAUCGGCCACACUGGGACUGAGACACGGCCCAGACUCCUACGGGAGGCAGCAGUAGGGAAUCUUCGGCAAUGGACGAAAGUCUGACCGAGCAACGCCGCGUGAGUGAAGAAGGUUUUCGGAUCGUAAAACUCUGUUGUUAGAGAAGAACAAGGAUGAGAGUAAAAUGUUCAUCCCUUGACGGUAUCUAACCAGAAAGCCACGGCUAACUACGUGCCAGCAGCCGCAGUAA
rnacentral:rRNA from 1 species